rnacentral:rRNA from 1 species
AUACGUAGGGGGCGAGCGUUGUCCGGAAUUACUGGGCGUAAAGGGAGCGCAGGCGGUCUGCUAAGUGAGGUGUGAAAUACCCGGGCUUAACCUGGGGGGUGCAUUUCAAACUGGCGGACUUGAGUGUGGGAGAGGAAAGUGGAAUUCCUAGUGUAGCGGCGAAAUGCGUAGAUAUUAGGAGGAACACCAGUGGCGAAGGCGGCUUUCUGGACCACAACUGACGCUGAGGCUCGAAAGCGUGGGGAGCAAACAGGAUUAGAUACCCUGGUAAUCCACGCUGUAAACGAUGAAUACUAGGUGUAGGGGGUAUCAACUCCCUCUGUGCCGCAGCUAACGCAAUAAGUAUUCCGCCUGGGGAGUACGGUCGCAAGACUGAA